rnacentral:rRNA from 1 species
AUUGAACGCUGGCGGCAUGCUUUACACAUGCAAGUCGAACGGUAGAGGGGGCAACCCCUUGAGAGUGGCGAACGGGUGAGUAAUGCAUCGGAACGUGCCCAGUCGUGGGGGAUAACGCAGCGAAAGCUGUGCUAAUACCGCAUACGAUCUCUGGAUGAAAGCGGGGGACCGAAAGGCCUCGCGCGAUUGGAGCGGCCGAUGUCAGAUUAGGUAGGUGGUGGGGUAAAGGCUCACCAAGCCAACGAUCUGUAGCUGGUCUGAGAGGACGACCAGCCAGACGGGGACUGAGACACGGCCCAGACUCCUACUGGAGGCAGCAGUGGGGAAUUUUGGACAAUGGGCGCAAGCCUGAUCCAGCAAUGCCGCGUGCAGGAAGAAGGCCUUCGGUUUGUAAACUGCUUUUGUACGGAACGAAAAGGUCUGGGUUAAUACCCUGGGCACAUGACGGUACCGUAAGAAUAAGCACCGGCUAACUACGUGCCAGCAGCCGCCGUAA